GACGAACGCUGGCGGCGUGCUUAACACAUGCAAGUCGAACGGAAAGGCCCUGCUUGCAGGGUACUCGAGUGGCGAACGGGUGAGUAACACGUGGGUGAUCUGCCCUGCACUUCGGGAUAAGCCUGGGAAACUGGGUCUAAUACCGGAUAGGAGCCAUUUUUAGUGUGAUGGUUGGAAAGUUUUUUCGGUGUAGGAUGAGCUCGCGGCCUAUCAGCUUGUUGGUGGGGUAAUGGCCUACCAAGGCGGCGACGGGUAGCCGGCCUGAGAGGGUGGACGGCCACAUUGGGACUGAGAUACGGCCCAGACUCCUACGGGAGGCAGCAGUGGGGAAUAUUGCACAAUGGGCGCAAGCCUGAUGCAUCGACGCCGCGUGGGGGAUGACGGCCUUCGGGUUGUAAACUCCUUUCGCUAGGGACGAAGCUUUUUGUGACGGUACCUAGAUAAGAAGCACCGGCUAACUACGUG
rnacentral:rRNA from 1 species